rnacentral:rRNA from 1 species
UCGAGGUUCUUCUGGGCGGGAAAGGAUAAUAAGCAGAAGUACCACAUGGUGAAAUGGUCGGAGAUCUGCAAACCAAAGGACCAGGGUGGCUUGGGCAUUAUCUCAUCCAAGCAGAUGAACAUUGCACUCCUUUCCAAGUGGCUAUGGAGGAUUACUUCAGGGGAGGGCGGGCUCUGGUUGGAUAUCAUCAACGCAAAAUACUUGCGUGGCCAGGGCCUAGCGUUUGCGCAGAAAUCGGGGGCUCCCAGUUCUGGCAAAUGA